GACGAACGCUGGCGGCGUGCCUAAUACAUGCAAGUAGAACGAGUUGCGAACGGGUGAGUAAUGUCUGGGAAACUGCCCGAAGGAGGGGGAUAACUACUGGAAACGGUAUCUAAUACCGCAUACCAUCGGAUGUGCCCAGAUUGGAUUGGAUAGUAGGUGGGGUAACGGCUCACCUAGGGGACGAUCCCUAGCUGGUCUGAGAGGAUGACCAGCCACACUGGAACUGAGACACGGUCCAGACUCCUACGUGAGGCAGCAGUGGGGAAUAUUGCACAAUGGGCGAAAGCCUGAUGCAGCCAUGCCGCGUGUAUGAAGAAGGCCUUCGGGUUGUAAAGUACUUUCAGCGAAGAUGCGUUACUCGCAGAAGAAGCACCGGCUAACUCCGUGCCAGCAGCCGCGGUAAUAC
rnacentral:rRNA from 1 species